GACGAACGCUGGCGGCGUGCUUAACACAUGCAAGUCGAACGAGUGGCGAACGGGUGAGUAAUACGUGAGUAACCUGCCCUCUUUUUGGGAUAAGCCUUGGAAACGGGGUCUAAUACCGGAUAAAGGGGGAUGGGCUCGCGGCCUAUCAGCUUGUUGGUGGGGUGAUGGCCUUCCAAUGCGGUGACGGGUAGCCGGCCUGAGAGGGGGGCCGGCCACAUUGGGACUGCGGUACGGCCCAGAAUCCUACGGGGUGCAGCAGUGGGCGAUAUUGAUCAAAGGGCGAAAACCUGCUGCAGCGGAGCCGCGUGGGGGGUGAAGGCUUUCGGGUUGUUAACCUCUUUCGCUAUCGAAAGGGUAGGUGGAGAAGAAGCGCCGGCUAACUACGUGCCAGCAGCCGCGGUAAUUC
rnacentral:rRNA from 1 species